UGCAACUCGCCUGCAUGAAGGCGGAAUCGCUAGUAAUCGCGGAUCAGCAUGCCGCGGUGAAUACGUUCCCGGGCCUUGUACACACCGCCCGUCACACCAUGGGAGUUGGCAACACCCGAAGCCGGGCAGAGAGCCUGUCGAAGGUGGGGCCAGCGACUGGGGUGAAGUCGUAACAAGGUAGCCGUAUCGGAAGGUGCGGCUGGAUCACCUCCUUU
rnacentral:ncRNA from 1 species